rnacentral:lncRNA from 1 species
AAACAAGUGCUUGAAGGCAGUAUGCUUGGUAAAAGUCAUCGCCAUUCUCUAAUCUUGAGUACCCAGGGACACGAUACACUGCGGAAGGCUGCAGGGACCUCUGCCCAGGAAAGCCAGGAGCCAGAAAAACUUCAUCUCUUUUACAAGAAACAUUGAGAUUCCUGUAAAAUUAAGAAAUCACACAAUUUGAUGGUCUACAUUAUCUAAAGCAAAUGAGACUUCUAUUUGGAACAAAGACUACCUUGUUGGGAAAUGAGUCUGCAAGUUAAAGUGUUUUCUGUUUUCUAAGGAUAAUGGUCUCCAGCUUCGUCAAUGUUCCUGCAAAGGACAUGAUGCUGACUUUGAAGAUGCAAGCUUCCACAUCUACAGCCUCAAGGAAACAAAUUCAGCCAACCAACUGAGGGAGCUUUCCUUGUCCUGCCUCAAGAUGAGAUCACAGUCUGCCCAACACCAUGAUUUAGGCCUUGUGACACCUGAGCUCAGAUGGAAAAGAAUGGUGUUACUGAGACCCUUCAAGAUUCCCAGUGUAAUUCAAUAAAGAAAAGGCAACACAAAGGGGUUGUAUAGAAUUCGCCACAUUAUGGACCCAUGUCAUAGAGAGAAUCCACGGUGCAUUUGUUAGCUGCAUUUAAAUGACAACACUUUCAGAUCCAAGAUUUAUUUGGGAUAAAAAUUUACCUGGAUGCAAGGCUAUUCAGAAUGAAGAUUAAUGAUAUGGUUUGGCUGUGUCCCCACCCAAACUUCAUCUUGAAUUCCCACGUGUUGUGAGAGGGACCUGGUGGGAGAUAAUUGAACCAUGGGGGCAGGUCUUUCUCAUGCUGUUCUCAUGAGAGUGAAUAAGUCUCAUGAAACCUGAUGGUUUUAUAAGGGGGAAUUUCCCUGCACAAGCUCUCUCUCUGCCUUUUGCCAUCCAUGUAAGACGUGACUUGGUCCUCCUUGCCUUCUACCAUGAUUAUGAGGCCUCCCCAGCCACGUGGAACUGUGAGUCCAUUAAACCUCUUUCUUU